AAGGCGUGAUGUGUGUGAGAUUACCCGCUGAAUUUAAGCAUAUAAGUAAGCGGAGGAAAAGAAACUAACUAGGAUUCCCUUAGUAAUGGCGAAUGAACAGGGAUCAGCUCAGUGCCAAAUCGGAAUCACUUGUGGUUCUGAAAUGUGGCUUGAAGGCAGUACCAGUGGCAUCGCGGACGAAAGUCUCUUGGAAAAGAGCGUCAUAGAGGGUGAGAAUCCCGUGAGUCGUUCGCCGUUUGUCACGUACGGUCUGCGUUCUAACGAGUCGCGUUCCUUGGGAUUGGAGCGUAAACGGGUGGUAAAUUUCAUCCAAAGCAAAAUAUAUACUCGAGACCGAUAGCACAAAAGUACCGUGAGGGAAAGGUGAAAAGAACUUUGAGAAGAGGGUUAAAUAGUGCCUGAAAUCGUUGAGAAGGAAGCGGAUGCCGCCGUUGCAUAUGCUGAUUGUAGGAUUGCUGCUCGCUCCUGUCUUCUGCUACUCAUUCACAGACCUGGUCGUGUUGAGCAGUUGUUUGGCAGAUGUUAGUGGUGUUUCCUACUUUCAGUCGUCAGCAUCACUGGCUGAGUGGAAAUAAUCCUUGGAUGCUAAUUGGUUCGCUAUCUGUGAAUUGGUUGCUUCCUUGCGAUACUCACUACUCGGUCAGUGAGGAAGUGCGUUUGCUGGUCAACGAGCUUUCUAACUGUCAUUACCCUGCGCUUUUCGAUUCGUCGAGUGGCCAGGAUGUGGCUUUGAGAUUGUUCGCACUUAGUAAUCGCGAUGCUGGCUUCCAACGGUUGCCUCCGGCCCGUCUUGAAACACGGACCAAGGAGUCUAACGUAUGUGCGAGUGUGUGAGUGGCAAACUUAUACGCGUAAUGAAAGUGAGGCCGUAUGGCCAUGUUGGGGUCACCAACAACCGACCUUGAUCUUCGGGAA
rnacentral:ncRNA from 1 species